rnacentral:rRNA from 1 species
GACGAACGCUGGCGGCAUGCCUAAUACAUGCAAGUCGAGCGAACAGAUGAAGUGCUUGCACUUCUGACGUUAGCGGCGAACGGGUGAGUAACACGUAAGGAAUCUACCUAUAAGCGGGGGAUAACAUUCGGAAACGGGUGCUAAUACCGCAUAAUAUCUUCUUCCGCAUGGAAGAAGAUUGAAAGACGGCUCUGCUGUCACUUAUAGAUGACCUUGCGGUGCAUUAGUUAGUGGGUGGGGUAAUGGCCUACCAAGACGAUGAUGCAUAGCCGACCUGAGAGGGUGAUCGGCAACAUUGGGACUGAGACACGGCCCAAACUCCUACGGGAGGCAGCAGUAGGGAAUCUUCCGCAAUGGGCGAAAGCCUGACGGAGCAAUGCCGCGUGAGUGAAGAAGGCCUUCGGGUCGUAAAACUCUGUUAUAAGAGAAGAACAAAUUGUAGAGUAACUGCUACAGUCUUGACGGUAUCUUAUCAGAAAGCCACGGUUAACUACGUGCCAGCCGCCGCCGUAA